rnacentral:ncRNA from 1 species
AAUCGAGCGAUGAGCGGAACGAGUAGUGCUUAUCUCCCUGCUGACAGAGAGCUAGUGUUGGUGCGAACUAGCGUACAGGUAAGCAUGAAUUACCUCCGUGAGCAUCUUUUGCGAACAGCUUGUGCGAAAGUAGCAAAAGACGGUAUAAGCCGUUAUAUCAAUGAAGCGAGAGGACAUAUAUGUUCUCUAAGUAGGGUGGUACCGCGAUGAAACUCGUCCCUUCA